rnacentral:tRNA from 4 species
GCGAGAGUAGUUCAGUUGGCUAGAAUGUCUCCUUGCCAAGGAGAAGGUCGCGGGUUCGAGUCCCGUCUCUCGCUCCA